GAUGAACGCUGGCGGCGUGCCUAAUACAUGCAAGUAGAACGCUGAAGGAGGAGCUUGCUCUUCUGGAUGAGUUGCGAACGGGUGAGUAACGCGUAGGUAACCUGCCUGGUAGCGGGGGAUAACUAUUGGAAACGAUAGCUAAUACCGCAUGACAACAGUUAUUGCAUGAUAACUGUUUAAAAGGGGCAACUGCUCCACUACCAGAUGGACCUGCGUUGUAUUAGCUAGUUGGUGAGGUAACGGCUCACCAAGGCGACGAUACAUAGCCGACCUGAGAGGGUGAUCGGCCACACUGGGACUGAGACACGACCCAGACUCCUACGGGAGGCAGCAGUAGGGAAUCUUCGGCAAUGGACGGAAGUCUGACCGAGCAACGCCGCGUGAGUGAAGAAGGUUUUCGGAUCGUAAAGCUCUGUUGUAAGAGAAGAACGAGUGUGAGAGUGGAAAGUUCACACUGUGACGGUAUCUUACCAGAAAGGGACGGCUAACUACGUG
rnacentral:rRNA from 1 species